AAAAGGGGGCGUGGUCCCUUCUUACUAUGCGGUGCGAGGACCCAACAACAUUCCAGUCGCCACGGCCACGCCCCCAGGCCACUCCCCCUCUCCCGGCUGCGGCCUCCCAGUCUCCUCGGCCACACCCCCUUCCCAACUACUUAAAAGGACACUCCAACGCUCACAUUUCCCUACUCGGUGCUGGGGUUCCUGUCUGUGCAGUUCUGCUUGGUGACAUGGCUGCCUUGGGAGGGAGGGAGCUGUUCCUGUCAAGACUGGCAAGAGUGAUGCAGAGAGAGAUGGCACUGGGUGACUUCUGAGCUACUUCCAACGCUCAUAGUCUGCGAUUCUAUGGAACUCACUUGGCCCAGGAAGGGGCUUCCAGAAAGCCACAACUUCCUGACUUCGAAGGCCAGGCUGGAGCCCAAGAAGGCUUUGCAGCCCCCUGGGUGUGCUCAUUGUGUGAGCCAAGUGUUGUCUCUGGCGAUGAUGCCGACAGCCCGGCUCUCCUCGUGUUUCCGCUGCUGCGUGGAAUGUGAACCAGCUGAGCCGGACCAGCGCUGCCCCAGGGCAGGAGGCCAGGUGUGCUGUCUCUGGACGACAGGCAUGAGAAACAGCGACGCCUGAUGUCACCAGGGCCUGGGAACCACCCUGCCUGGGGGAUGCUGGCCCUCUCUGCUAAUGUGCUUGGGUCCUUAUUUCCUCUUUGAAUGUGUUUCUUGAAAAACAAACUCUUUGAGGUGAAAAAAGUUUAUGGUUUUUAGAACAAUGGUUUGAAAUAAAGCAAAUACUGGUAACAGGCUCUGCAGAUAGUUCUAUAAAGCUGUGAAAGAGCCACGAAUAGUUUAAUCACCCUGUACAAAGCAGCCACCUUCAGGAUUCAUUUCUUCAAGUGGUGUCAAUUCAAUUAAUCAUAAAAAAAUGAUUAAAAGAAUUUCAUACAACUUUGCUUUUAAAAUAAAAUCUUGGUAAACCAG